GGCAGCCUGGCGUAAUGACAACGUGUUUGACUUCGAAUCAAAAGAUUACAGGUUCUUCAAGUCCUGUGGUGGUCG
rnacentral:tRNA from 1 species